GCGGUUGAGUAAGUCGGGUGUGAAAACUCUGGGCUUAACCCGGAGACGCCAUCCGAUACUGCUCUGACUAGAGUUCAGGAGGGGAGUGGGGAAUUCCUAGUGUAGCGGUGAAAUGCGCAGAUAUUAGGAGGAACACCGGUGGCGAAGGCGCCACUCUGGACUGAAACUGACGCUGAGGAGCGAAA
rnacentral:rRNA from 1 species